rnacentral:rRNA from 1 species
CUCCCUUAGGUCAGCGGCGGACGGGUGAGUAACACGUGGGUAACCUGCCUGUAAGACUGGGAUAACUCCGGGAAACCGGGGCUAAUACCGGAUGCUUGAUUGAACCGCAUGGUUCAAUCAUAAAAGGUGGCUUUUAGCUACCACUUACAGAUGGACCCGCGGCGCAUUAGCUAGUUGGUGAGGUAACGGCUCACCAAGGCGACGAUGCGUAGCCGACCUGAGAGGGUGAUCGGCCACACUGGGACUGAGACACGGCCCAGACUCCUACGGGAGGCAGCAGUAGGGAAUCUUCCGCAAUGGACGAAAGUCUGACGGAGCAACGCCGCGUGAGUGAUGAAGGUUUUCGGAUCGUAAAACUCUGUUGUUAGGGAAGAACAAGUACCGUUCGAAUAGGGCGGUACCUUGACGGUACCUAACCAGAAAGCCACGGCUAACUACGUGCCAGCAGCCGCGGUAAUACGUAGGUGGCAAGCGUUGUCCGGAAUUAUUGGGCGUAAAGCGCGCGCAGGCGGUUUCUUAAGUCUGAUGUGAAAGCCCCCGGCUCAACCGGGGAGGGUCAUUGGAAACUGGGGAACUUGAGUGCAGAAGAGGAGAGUGGAAUUCCACGUGUAGCGGUGAAAUGCGUAGAGAUGUGGAGGAACACCAGUGGCGAAGGCGACUCUCUGGUCUGUAACUGACGCUGAGGCGCGAAAGCGUGGGGAGCGAACAGGAUUAGAUACCCUGGUAGUCCACGCCGUAAACGAUGAGUGCCUAAGUGUUAGAGGGUUUCCCGCCCUUUAGUGCUGCAGCAAACGCAUUAAGCACUCCCCCUG